UGGGGAAUCUUGCGCAAUGGGGGAAACCCUGACGCAGCGACGCCGCGUGGAGGAUGAAGGUCUUCGGGUUGUAAACUCCUUUUCUUGGGGAAAAUGAUGAUGGUACUCAAGGAAUAAGCCACGGCUAACUCUGUGCCAGCAGCCGCGGUAAGACAGAGGUGGCGAGCGUUGUUCGGAAUUACUGGGCUUAAAGGGCGAGUAGGCGUCCUGGUAAGUCAGCUGUGGAAUCUUUUCGCUUAACGAAAAAAGUGCAUCUGAAACUAUCGGGAUUGAGUCAGUGAGGGGAGGGCGGAAUUCCUGGUGUAGCGGUGAAAUGCGUAGAUAUCAGGAGGAAGGCCUGUGGCGAAGGCGGCCCUCUGGCACUGUACUGACGCUGAGGCGCGAAAGCGUGGGGAGCAAACAGG
rnacentral:rRNA from 1 species